CAUUAUCAGCUCAUGCUUCAGCGCUCUGCGAGUGUUUAUAGUCCUGUGACUUUAACACUUCAUGACUGAGAGCUGCUGCUCAGCGACUUCACCCACAGCAACCAUGAGUUUGAUCAGCGUCUUCAUCUGCACACUGGCCCUCUGCGCUCGAGGAUCCAGAGGUCAGGUGACUGUGACUCAGAGUCCUGCAGUGAAAUCUGUUUCUCCAGGAGACACACUCACCAUCAGCUAUAAAACCAGUCCUGCUGUUUACCGUGAUAGUGAUGGAGAUGACAGAUUAUUCUGGUAUCAGCAGAAAGCUGGAGAAGCUCCUAAACUCCUGAUCAAAUAUGCUAACAGAAGAGUAUCAGGUAUUCCAGCUCGUUUCAGUGGCAGUGGAUCUGGAUCUGAUUUCACUCUGACCAUCAGUGGAGUCCAGACUGAAGAUGCUGGAGAUUAUUACUGUCAGAGUUACCAUAGUGGUGGUGAUGUGUUCACACAGUGUUAAAGCAUCGUACAAAAACCUGGGUGUGUGUGAGUGCUGCAGCUGGGACCUCCUGCAGGUGCUGAGGGGGACAAUAUGAUCCAGCACACACACACACACACACACACACACACACACACACACACACACACACAGUGUAGCAGUGGAAGCUAACAGCAUGUUCAUGAAUCAUUUUCCCCAGAGGUCGCAUGUACAGGGAAGAAAGCAGUGUGUGUAGAACAGAGCUGUCUCAGUCCUGUGAUGAGGCCGAAAUACUGACUGAGACAUUUCAUGGAUGUGAUUCCGAGUUUAUCUGCUGAACUACAAAGAGUUUAGUUGUAAAUGGAGCUCCAUGAUCGAGCACGGAGUGGAACGUUAACUCCAAACAUUCAGUCACUUUAUGGAGUUCUGUGAGAUCAGAGGGUGAAUCAAUCUCAUUGUAAAUAAAAUGAGGUGGUGAUUAUCAAGCGUUUCACAUGAAUAUGAGCAAAACUCUAUCAGCUCCAAAUCUCACUGAUCUUCAUGUUGCAACACAAAGCUUAGAAAAGUGAAAGUUCUGCACUGAUUUGAUCUCACAGCAGCUAAUAUUACACAAUAACGCUCUUUAACUCUCAUCAAAAUGUCCUUUUAUUCCAGCUGCAUGAUCAUUAACUAUCAGGUUUUCAUUGGUUUGCAUCCUAUACUGGGUCCCUGCAUCACCGCUGGGGGUCACUGCCCUGCUGGGGGCUGGAAAUACCAAUUAGUGCAAAUGAUUUUGUGUUUGUUAUGUUCAUAAAAAUGACUUCAAAUGAGUUAACUCUAGAUUUAGAUUUCCAGAACACUGAGAGGAUCAUUAUAAAUCAUGGAGAUGAACAGGAAUCCAGAUAUAAAUGACCAGAUUAUGUUUGAUUUAUCACAUAUUAUUCACAUGAUGUCACGUGUGUUUACAGUUUUUCUGGAUCGCUGACACACUGUAACUGGGCCUAUUAACUAAACAUCCAAAUCCAUGACCCCAGCUACCAAAAGAUAGCGCUAUUUCCCAAAGCGAUAAACUCGAUUCCCCUGUUUUCACACAUGAUUCAGAUUUGCUGAACUUUUUCUGAAAAACUCUUCACACAAAUCCCUUCGUAUCUCACUGGCUGCACCAUGUGCUCAUUUACAAAGCACUGGCAUUCAGUAUCAUUAACACAAGCGAUCACAGCUCCAACUCAAUUAUCACACAAUUCCCCAGGUGGAAACACCAGGGCCCUGUACUAUGAAGCGGGUUUUCUGGCUUACCAGGGUAACUUCGAGAGUAACUUGAUCACGUGCAGCGUAACUUCCCGAUUAACCCAUACUACGAAAGUUGGCUAUGUUCAAACCGAGGUAUGCUGCCAUGGCAACUUACGCUGCAUCUCAAACCUGCUCGUCUCAGGUUAUGUUCUUGGUUAACCCGAGGUUUCCGAUUAACCACACCCUUUUUAAACACCACCUCUCCACCGACAUUUCCUCUAGAGACAAUGCCAGCAUACCUGGAUGACCCGUGCGAUAUCGGAGCGCAGAUUAGAGAUGGGAUUUAUGGCUCUUUGAUGGGAUCCGCAUCUUUGUGAUCCGUUCUUUGAAAAGAGCCGUUCAAAAGACUGGCUCAUUCGGCUCUUUUUAAAUAUUUAUUCAGUUUUAAGAAGACAGCGUCUAAAGAAGCCAGAUCCCUCUGCUUAGACAGUGACAUCAAUAUUUCUGGACAUACCUUUUAUAUAAAGCAACCUAGACUUACAUUAUUGUAACCCCUAAACGCUCAUAAAUAACCAUUAAAAAACAAUGAGGGCUUCAAUGAAUGUCCAUGCAGAACGGCUUUUCUGUAAAAAAAAAAAAAAGAACCCACUCAAGAACAUAGUUAUCAAGAACGCAAGAAUAUUUUAUAGAAAAACACUUGUUUUACAAAAAUAUUUAAGUCUGAGAUACAAAAUAGAUACAAC